rnacentral:rRNA from 1 species
GAGUGGCGAACGGGUGAGUAACACGUGGAUAACCUGCCUCAAGGCUGGGGAUAACAUUUGGAAACAGAUGCUAAUACCGAAUAAAACUUAGUAUCGCAUGAUAUCAAGUUAAAAGGCGCUACGGCGUCACCUAGAGAUGGAUCCGCGGUGCAUUAGUUAGUUGGUGGGGUAAAGGCUUACCAAGACGAUGAUGCAUAGCCGAGUUGAGAGACUGAUCGGCCACAUUGGGACUGAGACACGGCCCAAACUCCUACGGGAGGCUGCAGUAGGGAAUCUUCCACAAUGGGCGCAAGCCUGAUGGAGCAACGCCGCGUGUGUGAUGAAGGCUUUCGGGUCGUAAAGCACUGUUGUAUGGGAAGAAAUGCUAAAAUAGGGAAUGAUUUUAGUUUGACGGUACCAUACCAGAAAGGGACGGCUAAAUACGUGCCAGCAGCCGCGGUAAUACGUAUGUCCCGAGCGUUAUCCGGAUUUAUUGGGCGUAAAGCGAGCGCAGACGGUUGAUUAAGUCUGAUGUGAAAGCCCGGAGCUCAACUCCGGAAUGGCAUUGGAAACUGGUUAACUUGAGUGUUGUAGAGGUAAGUGGAACUCCAUGUGUAGCGGUGGAAUGCGUAGAUAUAUGGAAGAACACCAGUGGCGAAGGCGGCUUACUGGACAACAACUGACGUUGAGGCUCGAAAGUGUGGGUAGCAAACAGGAUUAGAUACCCUGGUAGUCCACACCGUAAACGAUGAAUACUAGGUGUUAGGAGGUUUCCGCCUCUUAGUGCCGAAGCUAACGCAUUAAGUAUUCCGCCUGGGGAGUACGACCGCAAGGUUGAAACUCAAAGGAAUUGACGGGGACCCGCACAAGCGGUGGAGCAUGUGGUUUAAUUCGAAGCAACGCGAAGAACCUUACCAGGUCUUGACAUCCUUUGAAGCUUUUAGAGAUAGAAGUGUUCUCUUCGGAGACAAAGUGACAGGUGGUGCAUGGUCGUCGUCAGCUCGUGUCGUGAGAUGUUGGGUUAAGUCCCGCAACGAGCGCAACCCUUAUUGUUAGUUGCCAGCAUUCAGUUGGGCACUCUAGCGAGACUGCCGGUGACAAACCGGAGGAAGGCGGGGACGACGUCAGAUCAUCAUGCCCCUUAUGACCUGGGCUACACACGUGCUACAAUGGCGUAUACAACGAGUUGCCAACCUGCGAAGGUGAGCUAAUCUCUUAAAGUACGUCUCAGUUCGGACUGCAGUCUGCAACUCGACUGCACGAAGUCGGAAUCGCUAGUAAUCGCGGAUCAGCACGCCGCGGUGAAUACGUUCCCGGGUCUUGUACACACCGCCCGUCACACCAUGGGAGUUUGUAAUGCCCAAAGCCGGUGGCCUAACCUCGGGAGGAG